rnacentral:lncRNA from 1 species
UUUUUGUGGCCUUUUUCCGCUGUACGAACUUGGCGCCCCGGCUUUCGGGCGGUUAUUUUUGGGCGCGGCUUUGCCUGCGGCCUAUUUUUAGGACACGGAAGCCCCUCGCAAAGUCUCGCGACAUUCCGGGUCCGGCGGACGAAGUUGGCCAGCCCCAGCCGCCAAGGCUAUAGCCCACCCGUUUUUGUCGCCUUUUUCCGCUGGACGAACUUGGCGCCCCGGCCUUCGGGCGGUUAUUUUUGGGCGCGGCUUUGCCCGCGGCCUAUUUUUGGCACACGGAGGCCCCUCGCAAAGUCUCGUGGCAUUCCGAGUCCAGCGGACGAAGUUGGCCAGCCCCACCCCCCAAGGCUAUAGCCCACCCAUUUUUGUGGCCUUUUUCCGCUGGACGAACUUGGCACCCCGGCCUUCGGGCGGUUAUUUUUGGGUGCGGCUUUGCCCGCAGCCUAUUUUUGGCACACGGAGGCCCCUCGCAAAGUCUCGUGGCAUUCCGAGUCUGGCGGACGAAGUUGGCCAGCCCCACCCCCCAAGGCUAUAGCCCACCCGUUUUUGUGGCCUUUUUCCGCUGGACGAACUUGGCUCCCGGCCUUCGGACGGUUAUUUUU